AUUGAACGCUGGCGGCAGGCCUAACACAUGCAAGUCGAGCGAGCGGCGGACGGGUGAGUAUUGUCUGGGAAACUGCCUGCUGGAGGGGGAUAACUACUGGAAACGGUAGCUAAAACCCCAUAUCCUCACAUGUGUGCAGAUGGGAUUAGCUCGUAGGUGGGGUAACGGCUCACCUAGGCGACGAUCCCUAGCUGGUCUGAGAGGAUGACCAGCCACACUGGAACUGAGACACGGUCCAGACUCCUACGGGAGGCAGCAGUGGGGAAUAUUGCACAAGGGGCGCAAGCCUGAUGCAGCCAUGCCGCGUGUGUGAAGAAGGCCUUCGGGUUGUAAAGCACUUUCAGCGGGGAGGCGUUACCCGCAGAAGAAGCACCGGCUAACUCCGUGCCAGCAGCCGCGGUAAUAC
rnacentral:rRNA from 1 species